AUUAUGGCUCAGGACGAACGCUGGCGGCGUGCCUAAUACAUGCAAGUCGAACGGCUUUUCUAUGGAAGCUUGCUUCCACUGAAAAGAUAGUGGCGAACGGGUGAGUAACACGUGGGUAACCUGCCCAUAAGAGGGGGAUAACAUCCGGAAACGGGUGCUAAUACCGCAUAGUUUUCUUGAUCGCAUGAUCGGGAAAGGAAAGACGGCCUUUGUGCUGUCGCUUAUGGAUGGACCCGCGGCGUAUUAGUUAGUUGGUGAGGUAACGGCUCACCAAGACGAUGAUACGUAGCCGACCUGAGAGGGUGAUCGGCCACAUUGGGACUGAGACACGGCCCAAACUCCUACGGGAGGCAGCAGUAGGGAAUCUUCCGCAAUGGACGAAAGUCUGACGGAGCGACGCCGCGUGAGUGAAGAAAAGGUUUUCGGAUCGUAAAACUCUGUUGUCAGAGAAGAACAAGUUGGAGAGUAACUGCUCCAGCCUUGACGGUAUCUGACCAGAAAGCCACGGCUAACUACGUGCCAGCCGCAGC
rnacentral:rRNA from 1 species